rnacentral:lncRNA from 1 species
UUUAUAUGUGUGUGUGUGUGUAUGUGUGUGUGUGUGUGUAUAUAUAUAUAUAUAUGUAUAUAUGUAUAUAUACAUAUAUAUAUAUAUAUAUAUAAAGAAAAUGAGAUACUAGGAAAAGAGAAAUUAGAUAGGUCACUUAACCUCUCUUAGUCUCAGCUUGCUCAUCUGUGAAAUGGGCAAGUAGAACUAAAUGCCGGGAAUUAACCUCAACAGUCUCUGGCUUUUAACGGAGGGAAAGGGGCUGAGAAAAAUAGAGCCAAUGCAGAAAGACCACUUUACCCUACCUGUGGUGGUGAACUGGGCUUCCCAGAACAGUUCACUUCUGGGAUGGUAAUGUCUGCCUCUGUUCUCACCCCAACACACACACACACACACACACACACACACACACACACACACACACACACGCUUUUUCUUUUCCCCAAGGGAAUUGUUUGCGAUUGAACAAGUGGAAGCAUAAAUAGCUUUGCGGAACUAUUUAGCAAAGUCAAUAUGCAAUUAUGCAAAAGUCUAUGAUAAGGCUCCCUCGGAAGCAGAAAGCAGCACGGGGAAUAAAGACAGCGUUUCAGCUUCCCUGGAGAGGCUGGUUUUCACAAAAUGUGCCCCUUUAUACAGCCCAUCAUGGAUGCUAUUCGUGGCCAGUCUUGCUCAUCCUGUUGCUUCACAGUUCAUUUUAGGAUCAUAAAUGUAGCUGCGCCCCUGUCGAUGCUUGGCUUGACGGCGCCCCCGCCCCCACUACCUCCAGCCGCGCCGAUGCCUGGUGGCCCUGCUGGAGAGAUGGAGCUCAAACCCCAGAAAGCAGCCGUCGGAAGGCACUCAGGUGUUGGCCGCAGCUGGCUGUAGUUCCGGGAAGAGCUUGCAGGCGGUCGGCCCAGUUUGAUCCUUUCUGUAAUCGGAAAAGGAUUGCGUUGCCUGGCCCAGUCAGCUCAGUUUCCCGAGAAUUAAACAGAGAAAUCGCUUUUCUGAGACAAGGAGGUUCCAUCUUGGCCUGAGUUGUUUCCAAGUUCAUGUUGGGGAAGGAAGGGGCGGCGGGGGGAGGGGGAGGUCAGGCAUAAAGUUGGUAAUUCACCUGGAUCUCCUCGGCUUUAACACGCGGGCCUGCCUUAACCUCCCGAGUGAUGUAUCCGGGCGUUUGUCCCCGAAAACAACACUUGGAUGCGAUGGAGAAAAGGAAGAGAUCUGAAAACUUGGGGAGUGGGGGAGAAAGGAAGAGAGAAGACAUGCAAAUGAUGAGGGAUUCUAGGAUGAGUUUUUUAAACAGUCGGAGCUCUUUUAAGGCAAAAAGCAUCUGAAGGUUUGGGGUGUACGUGUGCCUUUGGGCACACAUGAGACGAGUACAGUGUCGGGGCUGAAGGCUGGCAAGGCUCAGAUACUGGGCUUUUUGAAAACCCCACUAUUAGGGGGAGGUGGGCGUUGACUCCCGCGAAGUAUUAAAAGAAGCAAUACUUGUCACUUAAGGAAGUACGUGCGCUUGGUGGAACCUGAUUCCAGAUCUAAGUUCUGAUGCUCGCUCUGUGUCCCCAGUUUCUCAAAAGCUCACUUAACAGAACCUUAAGCCCUAUUUGUCGGACCGAUGCAAAUUAUCUUUUGGUUUGCGCAUUAAGAGUUGACUUCAGUACAUUUUAGGGCUCCUAUUCUUUUCUAAACAACCUUCGCGGAUAGGAGCACCCAAUCUUUCUCAAAACUCUUCCCCUUACCUAACCCCCCUCCCUACCCCCCACCUUUGGGGUGAAGGUGGG